GAUUAACGCUGGCGGCGUGCAUAACACAUGCAAGUCGAACGAAGUGGCGGACGGGUGAGUAACGCGUGAGUAACCUGCCUUAGAGAAGGGGAUAGCCUUUGGAAACGAAGAAUAAUACCCUAUACUCUAAGAUGGACUUGCGUCUGAUUAGUUAGUUGGUGAGGUAACGGCCCACCAAGACAGCGAUCAGUAGCCGGCUUGAGAGAGUGUACGGCCACAUUGGGACUGAGACACGGCCCAGACUCUACGGGAGGCAGCAGUGGGGAAUUUUGCACAAUGGGGGAAACCCUGAUGCAGCGACGCCGCGUGAUUUAGAAGGCCUUCGGGUUGUAAAAAUCUUUUCUAUGGGAAGCAGUACCAUAGGAAUAAGGACCGGCUAAUUACGUGCCAGCAGCCGCGGUAAUAC
rnacentral:rRNA from 1 species